AACGAACGCUGGCGGCAGGCCUAACACAUGCAAGUCGAACGCUCCGCAAGGGGAGUGGCGCACGGGUGAGUAACACGUGGGAACCCACCUUCUGGUACGGAACAACCAAGGGAAACUUUGGCUAAGACCGUAUACGACCUCCGGGUGAAAGAUUGAUCGCCGGAAGAGGGGCCCGCGUCCGAUUAGGUAGUUGGUGAGGUAACGGCUCACCAAGCCUUCGAUCGGUAGCUGGUCUGAGAGGAUGACCAGCCACACUGGGGACUGAGACACGGCCCAGACUCCUACGGGAGGCAGCAGUGGGGAAUAUUGGACAAUGGGCGCAAGCCUGAUCCAGCCAUGCCGCGUGAGUGAUGAAGGCC
rnacentral:rRNA from 1 species